rnacentral:rRNA from 1 species
UGGCGGACGGGUGAGUAAUGCCUAGGAAUCUGCCUAGUAGUGGGGGAUAACUUGCCGAAAGGUAAGCUAAUACCGCAUACGUCCUACGGGAGAAAGCAGGGGACCUUCGGGCCUUGCGCUAUUAGAUGAGCCUAGGUCGGAUUAGUUAGUUGGUGAGGUAAUGGCUCACCAAGACUGCGAUCCGUAACUGGUCUGAGAGGAUGAUCAGUCACACUGGAACUGAGACACGGUCCAGACUCCUACGGGAGGCAGCAGUGGGGAAUAUUGGACAAUGGGGGCAACCCUGAUCCAGCCAUGCCGCGUGUGUGAAGAAGGUCUUCGGAUUGUAAAGCACUUUAAGUUGGGAGGAAGAGCAGUUAACGAAUACUUGACUGUUUUGACGUUACCAACAGAAUAAGCACCGGCUAACUUCGUGCCAGCAGCCGCGGUAAUA